GCUCGGGCUUCCCCCUCCUCCAGCCCCGCAAGCUCCCAGAGCUCUGGGUCCCGUUUUGGGGGCUGGGGGAGGGGGAAGCUCGGGC